rnacentral:tRNA from 1 species
AAUUGGAUAUUUAAUAUUCAGACAACAAGUCGCCCUUACAAGGCGGAGGUCGCGGGUUCGAGUCCCGCCCCGCCUACCA